GCUAAAAAUUUAGCCCAUAAUAACCCCAUGAAAAACACUUACCUUAAUCUUUUAAACUAAAUCAUUCUCAAAAUUUAGUAAAGGCGAUCAAAACAUUAAUUGGAGCAAUAAAAAUAGUACCGUAAGGGAACAAUGAAAUAAAAAUGAAACAAAUUUUAAGCACAAAAAAGUAGAGAAUUAACCUCGUACCUUUUGCAUCAUGAUUUAACAAGAUAGACUUAGCACAAUGAAUUAUAGUUCAACCUCCCGAAACUAAGCGAGCUACUUCUAGGCAGCUAUAAGAGCAAACCCGUCUCUGUUGCAAAAGAGUGGAAAGACCUUUAAGUAGAGGUGACAGACCUAACGAGCAUAGUGAUAGCUGGUUACUCAAGAAAAGAAUUUUAGUUCAACCUAAAGUUUCUGUAAUAUUAUUAAAUAAAACCUUAACUUUUUAGUUAUUCAAAUAAGGUACAGCCUAUUUGAAACAGGAUACAACCUAAACCAAUGGGUAAACAAUGAUAAAUUUAACCAAGUGGGCCUAAAAGCAGCCACCUUUAAAACAGCGUCAUAGCUUAAUUUUAUAAACAUCUAAUUCCCCUUAUAACAAUGAACCCAUUAUUAAUAUUGAGUAAUUCUAUAUAUUUAUAGAAAAUUUUAUGUUAAAACUAGUAAUAAGAAGAAGACCUUCUCUUUAAUGUAAGUGUAAAUCAGAUAGGACAAACCACUGAUAAUUAACAUCAAUAACUAUAUUUUAGCAACUCAACAAGAAAACACUAACUCAUUAUAUGUUAAUCUAACACAAGAACAUUGCAAGAAAGAUUUAAAGAAAAAGAAGGAACUCGGCAAAUAUUAACCUCGCCUGUUUACCAAAAACAUCGCCUCUUGAUUUAAUAUAAGAGGUCCAGCCUGCCCAGUGACUUUGUUCAACGGCCGCGGUAUCCUAACCGUGCGAAGGUAGCGUAAUCACUUGUUCUUUAAAUAAGGAAUAGUAUGAAUGGCAUCACGAAGGUUUUACUGUCUCCUUUUUCUAAUCAAUGAAACUAAUCUCCCCGUGAAGAAGCGGGGAUAAAUCCAUAAGACGAGAAGACCCUAUGGAGCUUUAAAUUAUUUAUCACUUGCUUAAUCCAUUGUAUUUUCAGAAUUAUACCACUUAUUCUAGCUUUCUGAUAGUAAAUUUUAGGUUGGGGUGACCGCGGAGUAAAAAAUAACCUCCACAAUGAAAGGAUAUUUUCCUGAACAAAAAGCUACAACUUUAUGUACCAAAAAAUUGACAUAAAUUGACCCAAUAUUUUGAUCAACGAACCAAGUUACCCUAGGGAUAACAGCGCAAUCUACUUCAAGAGCUCCUAUCGACAAGUAGGUUUACGACCUCGAUGUUGGAUCAGGGUGUCCCAGUGGUGCAGCCGCUACUAAAGGUUCGUUUGUUCAACGAUUAAAACCCU
rnacentral:rRNA from 1 species